CCGCAUAGCACAGCACCUUCAAAGAUGAUAAAACCAACCCAAAGCCCGUGUACCACCCAACUUUCCAUGUUCAUCUCUACAAUAUGCUAUUGUCGUUUUCUCUCCGAAUUGACAAUGAUAAUUACUUUAGCGUCCUCAAUAUGGCCUUUUCCUUCCUAGUAACCCAUAAUUGCAUACAAACGAACAAAUCCUAUGAGCGUACCCAUUGAGACUUCUUGCUUUUGUCCGCAUGCCGAUUGUUA
rnacentral:misc_RNA from 1 species